AGGAGUAAUGUGUGCUGCUGCAUGCAUAUUGCAGCUGGUGGAUCGGAGGACGGACGCGCGUGGAACUGUGGUCAUCCCAACACGUGAGGGCGGUAAUGCUAUUCGCCAUGACAGUUAAGCGUGUAAGUACGGCGCUGAUCGUCGAUCUUCCUAGCUCGCUGGCGUGACAGAAACAUAUACCCUCAGAACGGUCGGGUGACUGCAUGUCUGCAUGCAGCACACAAGAGCAGCGGCAAGCAGCGGAAGAACGGCUAGUGCAUACUGUAGUCAAGACUCAACGCAACAACUGUCAUGAGGUGAAGGCAACUCUCAUGAGGUAAAAGUGUAACACGUCAAUGUGGCUUCAAAUCAAAAUACUUGAAUCCUACAAUCUUAGCAUCACAGCUUCUCAAGUUGUGAAUCGAGUUGAUCUCACCAAGAAGGUUAAUCCCUACCUGGGAAACGAAAAACAAAAGUGAGACUCGAAAGUACACAAUCCAACUACUCAAUUAAAGUGACAAGUUGUGGAUGUAUGAUUAUGCUCAUGAAAUUGGGGUUUCACAACCAAUAUAAUGACAGACGAUUGUUUGAUGGUGGAUUGAUCUAAAUCAAAA